AUACGGGGGGUGCAAACGUUGCUCGGAAUCAUUGGGCGUAAAGCGUACGUAGGCGGACUAUUAAGUCUGAUGUGAAAGCCCGGGGCUCAACCUCGGAAUGCCAUUGGAAACUGGUAGUCUAGAGAAUAGGAGGGGUAAGUGGUAUUUCUGGUGUAGGGGUGAAAUCCGUAGAGAUCAGAAGGAACACCGGUGGCGAAGGCGACUUACUGGACUAUUUCUGACGCUGAUGUACGAAAGCAUGGGGAGCAAACAGGAUUAGAAACCCUAGUAGUCC
rnacentral:rRNA from 1 species